rnacentral:rRNA from 1 species
AGAGUUUGAUCCUGGCUCAGAUUGAACGCUGGCGGAACGCUUUACACAUGCAAGUCGAACGGUAACGCGGAGAGAAGCUUGCUUCUCUCCGGCGACGAGUGGCGAACGGGUGAGUAAUACAUCGGAACGUGUCCGCUCGUGGGGGACAACCAGCCGAAAGGUUGGCUAAUACCGCAUGAGUUCUACGGAAGAAAGAGGGGGACCCGCAAGGGCCUCUCGCGAGCGGAGCGGCCGAUGACUGAUUAGCCUGUUGGUGAGGUAACGGCUCACCAAAGCAACGAUCAGUAGCUGGUCUGAGAGGACGACCAGCCACACUGGGACUGAGACACGGCCCAGACUCCUACGGGAGGCAGCAGUGGGGAAUUUUGGACAAUGGGCGCAAGCCUGAUCCAGCUAUUCCGCGUGUGGGAUGAAGGCCCUCGGGUUGUAAACCACUUUUGUAGAGAACGAAAAGACACCUUCGAAUAAAGGGUGUUGCUGACGGUACUCUAAGAAUAAGCACCGGCUAACUACGUGCCAGCAGCCGCGGUAAUACGUAGGGUGCGAGCGUUAAUCGGAAUUACUGGGCGUAAAGGGUGCGCAGGCGGUUGAGUAAGACAGAUGUGAAAUCCCCGAGCUUAACUCGGGAAUGGCAUAUGUGACUGCUCGACUAGAGUGUGUCAGAGGGAGGUGGAAUUCCACGUGUAGCAGUGAAAUGCGUAGAUAUGUGGAAGAACACCGAUGGCGAAGGCAGCCUCCUGGGACAUAACUGACGCUCAGGCACGAAAGCGUGGGGAGCAAACAGGAUUAGAUACCCUGGUAGUCCACGCCCUAAACGAUGUUAACUAGUUGUUGGGAAGUAAAAUUCUCAGUAACGCAGCCAACGCGAGAAGUUAACCGCCUGGGAAGUACGGUCGCAAGACUAAAACUCAAAGGAAUUGACGG